CAGCCUGGGUGACAAAGUGAGACCCUGUUAUGAAAGAAAAAAGAAAAGAAAAGAAAAGAAAAAAAGGACAGGAGGCAGUGGCCAGAACAGCAUGUAAGUGGGAUAAUUCUUGGGUAAUGAAAAGGACUAGAAUGCAGGUGAUGGACUUUGGUGACAAAAUGCAAACUAUGCAUACAACAAGGAGAGUUAAUGUUCAGAAUAUGUGAAAAAACUUUCACAGUAACUCCAAGGAAAAACUUAGGUUUUCACUACAAAGAAAUGCUAAGUGCUGAGGUGAUAGAUCUUCUAAAUACCCUGAUUUGACUAUUGCUCAAUGCACACAUGUACAGAAACAUCACACUGUAUCCUAUAAAUAUCCACAAUUAUCACAUAUCAAUUAAAAUAAAACUUCUAAAAUAUGGAAAACUUCUUAAAAGUAAACAAACAAACAAAAAUUAGGAAAAGCAGAGGCCACAGAAUUAAAUCAGGCCAUAAGGACAUUCAAGUCAGUCAGGAUGAACUCAAGUAUAAGACUUUAGGAAAAGUGUGAAAGUUUUCACUGAAAAUUUCCAAGAGAUCUGAAGGUGGCAGUGCCAGGGAACUAGCAGUGGGGGUGGGUAGCACAUGUUUCUAAGAGCAAGAGAUUUUCUAAUAGGAGGAGAGAAAUAAUGAUUCCCAAGGAAUUGGAAGGAGCAAAGAGACUCUAUAAACCACAUUCCCACCUGAAGUACUUUAAGUACUUUGGAGUUUGAGAGAAUGUGUAAUCUCUACUUGACAUCCAAGGGAAGCAAUGCCCUCAAGGGAAAUCCAGGUUACAGUUACAGCCAGGAGAUGCAAGGAACUGUCAAAGAUAGAGCAGCCAAAGGAAAUCAGGACAUUGGCUUGUCAUACAGCUGGACUUCCAGAGACGACAACUGAAUGUUUUGUGCAGUGUGGGAGGAAAGGGGUGCUGGACCAAGGGAGAGAAUUCAGAAUAUAGUGGUAAGAGUGCAGGAGAGAAUGGGAGAACAAAGGGGCUUAGGGUUUGGAUAGUGAGCACAGAAACCAGGAAUGUUCAGCAGAGAGGGUUGCUCCAUCAGACAAAAGAAUGGAGAAGUGUGCAGGGGCCUUCUUAGCCAUCCCACAUGGAAUCAGAUAUCUCAGCAAGAAAGUCUAAAUCUAGUCAUUACGUGUCCAGGAGUGGGCAGUCCUCCUGCUAGCAUUGGCCCUAUGUUUAUGGUUCCUGUUAAGAGGACAGGGGAACAGGGACCAAGAGGUUACUACAGAAAGUCAAGUUGUGCUCUGAAGCGCCCCCUGCAGGACCCUGUCCAGAGAGACAGCAGCAGUUGAGGCUGCUGGUCAGCACUCUGGGCUAUUUUGUGCUCCCUCCCACCUGCUCCUCCUUUUGGCCCAAGUUCUAGUCCCACUUGCUUUGUCACCCCCUCCUAUGGCAGCUUCCUCUCUGGUCUUCAGUGUCCUCGUUGAUACAGUGAACAUAGCAUCUCUCCUCUAAUCACAUAUAUUCAUACAGUAAAUAAAUGAUGUGAAAGUACUUUGAAAAAUGUAAGUGAAAGACUGGGGCACUGACUUCUUCCCAUUUUCCCAAGUCCUGCUUCAGAACCACUCUCCUAGGCCCCAAGCCCCUAACUCCUUCUUGGCCGUUUAAUCAAACUUUGCCUACUGAGGGGCAUAACUAUAUGGUAUCCCCAGAACGGGGACUAAUAUUACAGCCCCCAUUUCUUCUCUUUGCUAUUUGCCAUGAUACUCUUAAACCUAGAGACUGGGAUCCUCUCCCUAGGCCAAAAGGGAGGGGCACAUAGGCAUCAUAAUGGGCAUUCAGACAUGGUAUGAUGCGAGGGGUGGGCAUGAGAUAAAUGCUGGAGUAGGUCUGGGCAACACCCCAGUUACUCAUUUGGACUCACUGGGACAAGUGAUUAACUAGAAUUCUCAAUGAAGAAAUGACAAGAAGGCUCCCUCCAAUUUCUCAAUUUCCACCCCGCCCGAUACCCAGUUUGAUUCCGCACCCUCCUAAUCCACGCCACCCUUGUAAUCCAACCCGCUCUCCUAAGGCAACCCACUUACCCCCCCUUUAUCCUCAAUCUGCCAAGACUCUUUCUCCUCUCCAGAAGUAUGUGGAUUUUUCAGUUUUCUGCUCUCACUGUUAUCCCACUGUGGCUCAUGCCUGCCCUCCCCACUACCCUACCCUAAAACUCUUCCUGCCCUGCUCUUCUGCUGUUCAUCACAGACUAUCUAUUUGCCAAUGCCGUGGUCGCACAACUCUUUCUGGCAACUUCCCUAUCUAUGCCUCUAGCCCUCUUAGCCCUGCUUGCCAAAGCUGUGGUUCCAGAGCUCUUUCCUGUGACUCCCCUAUCUAUCCACCUACUCCUCCUCCUAGCCCUGCUUGCCAAUGCUGUGGUCCCAGAAUUCCUUCCUGUCACUCCCCUGUCUAUCCCCGUACUCCUCAUCCUAGCCCUACUACUUCCCAAUACUCUAGUCCCAGAACUCUUUCCUGUGACUCCUCUAUCUAUUCCUCUACUACUUCUAGCUCUGUUUGCGAAUGCUGUGGUCCCUGAACUUUUUCCUGUCACUCCCCUAUCGAUCCCCCUACUCCUCCUCAUAGCCCUUCUUUCUAGAACUCAGCCUCCAGCCCUGCCACCUGCAACCAGAGCUGGCGAUUCAAAGAUCUCAUCUUGGAGAUGUUUUUCCUGCUCCUGGAGCAGUUUUGGUGCAGUUCAGAAUGGCCAGGACCAUGGCUUCAGCAGCCUGACCUGGUGGACAAAGAGAAGCAAGACAACGGCAAACCUGCAUUCAGCCUCAUCUGCUCCUUUCCUUCCCUGCCUGAUCAGCCAGAUGGCCUAAGCUUCUACAUUUGUCCCUGGCUUCUCCAUGGAACUCAGUCUGUAGCCACAGAACAAACCACAGGGCCAGAGACAGAGAAAGUAGAGGUGAAUGAGGAGUGGGAAGCACCUCAUCUGUUCUCAAGGAGGAGAAUGAUUGGCCAAGAUGAGAUCCAAUCAUAUGUCCAUUACCUCCUGGGUCAUCCACUUGGUGGUAAGUCCUUUCCAGGCCAUGUGCAGGGGCAGUUCCAGUAACCAGGCAGGAGCUGAGAAGCCCCAGGCAGGUGAGUUGAGUGCUGGAAGCAGGCGGGGUGUGAAGUAAGACCCUGAGAAGUGGGAGCGGGUUGAGGUGGAUGGGCAAUAAAAACAAGACCUACUCCAGAAGGGUGGUACCACAGGACAGUUGCCUGGAGAUGGAAAAGGAUGCAGUUGCCUGGAGUCGGCAGAAGGCGUGGAGCAGGUAGGGAGCAAGAGGGCACCCAGAGUGCUCCAGACCAGACCAAGCAGCAUGGAGGCGAUGGUGGGACACCCGAGGGGGCAGGCGAACCCAGAUGAGGUUCAUCGGGACCAGAUUUUGUGGGGUCCGCGUGACCGUAUCAAGCCACGUGGAGGCCAUGGUGGGACACCCAAGACAGGAGGUGACGCCACAUGAGGUUCAUCAGGACCAGAUCUUGUGGGGACCGCGUGACAAGAUCAAGCCGUGUGGAGGCCAUGGUGGGACACCCGAAGGAGCAAGCGACCCCAGAUGAGGUUCAUUGGGACCAGAUCUUCUGGGGACCGCCUGACCAGAUCAAGCCGUGGGGAGGCCACAGGGGACACCUGAGGGAGCAGGCGACACCAGAUGACGUUCAUUGGGACCAGAUCUUGCAGGGACCACGUGACCAGAUCAAGCCAUGAGAAGACCAUGGUGGGACACCUGAGGGAGCAGGCGACCCCACAUGAGGUUCAUUGGGACCAGAUCUUGUGGGGACUGCCUGACCAGAUCAAGUUGUGUGGAGACCACGGUGGGACACCCGAGAGACCAGGCGACCCCACAUGAGGUUCAUAAGAUCUUAUGGGGUCCGCCUGAGCAGGCCAAGCUGUGUGGAGACCACGGUGGGACACUGACAGAGCAGGCAAACCCAGAUGAGGUUCAUCAGAUAUUCUGGGGACCGCAUGAUCAGAUCAAGCUGUGUGGAAGCCACGGUGGGACACCCAAGGGAGCAGGUGACCCCACAUGAGGUUCAUCGGGGCCAGAUCUAGUGGAGACCGCCUGACCGGAUCAAUCCGUGUGAAGGCCACGGUGGGACACUCAAGGGAGCAGGUGAUCCCAGAUGAGGUUCAUCAGAUCUUGUGGGGACCGCUUGACUAUAUCAAGCCAUGUGGAGGCCACAGUGGGACACCUGAGGGAGCCGGCGACCCCAGAUGAGGUUCGUUGGGACCAGAUCUUGUGUUUACCGCAUGAGCAGAUCAAGUCGUUUGGAGGCCACGGUGGGCCACCCGAGGGAGCAGGCAACCUCAGAUGAGGUUAGUUGAGACCAAAUCUUGUGGGGACAGCAUGACCAGAUCAAGCCGUGUGGAGUCCACAGUAGGACACCCGAGGGAGUAGGCGACCUCAGAUGAGGUUCAUUGGGACCAGAUCUUGUGGGGACCGCCUGACCAGAUCACGCCGUGUGGAGGCCACGGUGGGAUACCUGAGGAAGCAGGCAACCCCAGAUGAAGUUCAUCUGAACCAGAUCUUGUGGGGACCGCCUGACCAGACCAAGCCGUGUGGAGGCUAUGGUGGGACACCCAAGGGAGCAGGUGACCCCACAUGAGGUUCAUCAGAUGUUGUGGGGACCGCAUGACCAGAUCAAGUAGUGUGGAGUCUAUGGCAGGAAAUCCAAGGGAGCAGGCGAUCCCAGAUGAAGUUCAUCAGGACCAGAUCUUGUGGGGACCUCCUGACCAGAUCACGCCAUGUGGAGGUCACAAUGGGACACCCGAGAGAACAAGCGACCCUACAUCAGGUUCGUCAGAUCUUGUGGGGUCCGCCUGAGCAGACCAAGCCAUGCGACCCCAGAUGCGGUUCAUCAGAUCUUGUGGGGACCACAUGCUCAGAUCACGCUCUGUGUGGUAGGACACCCGAGGGAGCAGGUGACCCCACAUGAAGUUCAUUGGGACCAGAUCUUGUGGGGACCGUCUGACCAGAUUACAUGUGUAGAGGCCACAGUGGGACACCCGAGGGAAUAGGCAACCCCACAUGAGGUUCGUCAGAUCUUGUGGAGUCCACCUGAGAAGACCAAGCCAUGUGGAGGCCACGGUGGGACACCUGAGGGAGCAGGCGAUCCCAGAUGAGGUUCAUCAGAUUUUGUGGGGACUAUCAAGCCAUGUGGAGGCCACGGUGGGACACCCGAGGCAGCAGGCGACCCAGAUGAGGUUCGCCAAGACCAGAUCUUGUGGGGACUGUGUGACCACAUCAAGCCGUGUGGAGCCCAUGGUGGGACACCUGAGGGAGCAGGUGACCCCACAUGAGGUUCGUCAGAUCUUGUAGGGACUGUAUGAGCAGAUCAAGCUGUGUGGAGGCCACAGUGGGCCACCUGAGGGAGCAGGCGACCCCAGAUGAGGUUUGUUGAGACCAGAUCUUGUGGGGACAGCAUGAUCAGAUCACGCCAUGUGGAGGCCACGGUGGGACACCUGAGGAAAUAGGUGACCCCAAAUGAGGUUCAUCAGGACCAGAUCUUGUGGGAACCGCCUGACCAGAUCACACCGUGUGGAGACCACGGUGGGACACCCGAGGGAGCAGGUGACCCCAGAUGAGGUUCAUCUGAACCAAAUCUUGUGGGGACCGCCUGACCAGAUCAAGCCGUGUGGAGGCCACGGUGGGACACUCAAGGGAGCAGGCGACCCCAGUUGAGGUUCGUCAGAUCUUGUGGGGUCCGCCUGAGCAGACCAAGCCGUGUGGAGGCCACGGUGAGACACUUGACGGAACAAGAGACCCUGGAUGAGGUUCAUCAGAUCUUGUGGGGACCGCAUGAGCAGAUCAAGCUGUUUGAAGGCCAGGGUAGGACACCCGAGCAGGCGACUCCAGAUGAGGUUCAUCGGGACCAGAUCUUGUGGGGACUGUGUGACCAGAUGAAGCAGUGUGGAGUCCAUGGUAGGAAAUCUGAGGGAGGAGGUGAUCCCAGAUGAAGUUCAUCAGGACCAAAUCUUAUGGGGACCACCUGAGCAGAUCAAGCCAUGUGGAGGCCACGGUGGGACACCUGAGGGAGCAGGCGACCCCAGAUGAGGUUCGUCAGAUCUUGUGGGGUCCGCCUGAGCAGACGAAGCGUGUGGAGGCCACGAUGGGCCACCCGAUGGAGCAGGCGACCCCAGAUGAGGUUCAUCAGAUCUUGUGCGGACCGCAGGAGCAGAUCAAGAUGUGUGGCGUCCGUGGCGGGACUCCCGAGGUAGCAGGCGACCCCAGAUACGGUUUGUCGGGACCAGAUCUUGUGGGGACUGCGUGACCAUAUCAAGCCAUGUGGAGGCCAUGGUGGGAUACCCGAGGGACCAGGUGACCCCACAUGAGGUUCAUCAGAUCUUGUGGGGACCGCACGAGCAGAUCAAGUCGUUUGGAGGCCACGGUGGGCCACCCGAGGGAGCAGGCGACCCCAGAUGAGGUUUGUUGAGACCAGAUCUUGUGGGGACAGCAUGACCAGAUCAAGCCGUGUGGAGUCCACAGUAGGACACCCGAGGGAGUAGGUGACCCCAGAUGAGGUUCAUUGGUACCAGAUAUUGUGGGAACCGCCUGACCAGAUCACACCGUGUGGAGGCCACGGUGGGACACCCGAGGGAGCAGGUGACCCCAGAUGAGAUUCAUCGGUACCAGAUCUUGUGGGGACCGCCUGAGCAGAUCAAGCCGUGUGGAGGCCACGGUGGGACACCCGAGGGAGCAGGUGACCCUACAUGGGUUCAUCAGAUCUGUGGGGACUGUGUGACCACAUCAAGUCAUGUGGUGGCCACAGUGGGCCACCCGAGGGAGCAGACGACUCCAGAUGACGUUUGUUGAGACCAGAUCUUGUGGGGACAGUGUGACCAGAUCAAGCCGUGUGGAGUCCACAGUGGGACACCCGAGGGAGCAGGCGACCCCAGAUGAGGUUCAUCUGCACCAGAUCUUGUGGGGACCGCCAGACCAGAUCACACCGUGUGGAGGCCACGGUGGGACACCCGAGGGAACAAAUGACCCCAGAUGAGGUUCGUCAGAUCUUGUGGGGUCUGCCUGAGCAGACCACGCCACGUGGAGGCCAUGGUGGGUCACCCGACGGAGCAGGCGACCCCAGAUGAGGUUCAUCAGAUCUCGUGGGGACCGCAUGAGCAGAUGAAGAUGUGUGGAGGCCAUGGUAGGACACCCGAGGGAGCAGGCGACCCAGAUGAAAUUCCAUCAGAUUUUGUGGGGACCGCCUGACCAUAUCAAGCCAUGUGGGGGCCACGGUGGGACACCCGAGGCAGCAGGCGACCCCAGAUGAGGUUCUACCCAAUCAGAUCUUGUGGGGACCGCCUGACCAGAUGAAGCCGUGUGGAGGCCAAGGUGGGACACCUGAGGGAGCAGGUGACCCUACAUGAGGCUCAUCCGAUCUUGUGGGGACUGCGUGACCACAUCAAGCCAUAUGGAGGCCACAGUGGGCCACCCGAGGGAGCAGAUGACUCCAGAUGACGUUUGUUGAGACCAGAUUUUAUGGGGACAGUGUGACCAGAUCAAGCCAUGUGGUGUCUACAGUGGGACACCUGAGGGAGCAAGCGACCCCAGAUGAGGUUCACCUGGACCAGAUCUUGUGGGGACCGCCUGACCAGAUCACGCCGUGUGGAGGCCACGGUGGGACACCCGAGGGAACAAACGACCCUAGAUGAGGUUCGUCAGAUCUUGUGGGGUCUGCCUGAGCAGACCACGCCACGUGGAGGCCAUGGUGGGUCACUCGACGGAGCAGGUGACCCCAGAUGAGGUUCAUCAGAUCUCGUGGGGACCGCAUGAGCAGAUGAAGAUGUGUGGAGGCCAUGGUAGGACACCCGAGGGAGCAGGCGACCCCAGAUGAAGUUCAUCAGAUUUUGUGGGGACCGCCUGACCAUAUCACGCCAUGUGGAGGCCACAGUGGGACACCCGAGGCAGCAGGCGACCCCAGAUGAGGUUCUACCCAAUCAGAUCUUGUGGGGACCGCCUGACCAGAUGAAGCCGUGUGGAGGCCAAGGUGGGACACCCGAGGUAGCAGGCGACUGCAGAUGAGGUUUGUCAGGACCAGAUCUUGUGGGGACUGUGUGACCACAUCACGCCGUGUCUCAAGGUGGGACACCCAACGCAACAGGCGACCGCAGAUGAGGUAUGUCAGGACCAGAUCUUCUGGGGACUGUAUGACCACAUCACGCCGUGUGGAGGCCACGGUGGGGCACCCAAGGGAGCAGGUGACCCCACAUGAGAUUUAUUACAUCUUGUGGGGAUUGCAUGAGCAGAUCAACCUGUGUGGAGGCCACGGUGGGACACCCAAGGGAGCGGGCGACCCCAGAUGAGGUUUUACCGAACCAGAUCUUGUGGGGACCACCUGACCAAAUCAAGCCGUGUGGAGGCCACGGUGGGACACUUGAGGGAGCAGGUGACCCCAGUUCAGGCUCGUCAGAUCUUGUGGGGUCUGCCUGAGCAGACCAAGCCGUGUGGAGUCCACGGUGGGACACCCGAUGGAACAGGAGACCCCAGAUGAGGUUCAUCAGAUCUUGUGGGGACCGCCUGACCAGAUCAAGCCGUGUGGAGGCCACGGUGGGACACCUAAGGGAACAAGCAACCCCAGAUGAGGUUCGUCAGAUCUUGUGGGGUCCGCCUGAGCAGACCAAGUGUGUAGAGGCCAUGAUGGGACACCCGAUGGAGCAGGCGACCCCAGAUGAGGUUCAUCAGAUCUUGUGGGGACCGCAUGAUCAGAUCAAGCUGUGUGGAGGCCAAGAUAGGGCACCCGAGGGAGCAGGCAACCCCAGAUGAGGUUCAUCAGAUCUUGCAGAGACCGCUUGGGCAGAUCAAGCUGUGUGGAGGCCAUGGUGGGCCAUCUGAAGACCCCAGAUGAGGUUUGAGACUAGGUCUUGUGGGGACAGCGUGACCAGAUCAAGCUGUGUGGAGGCCAUGGUGGGACACCCGAAGCAGCAGGCGACCCCAGAUGAGGUUCACAGGACCAGAUCUUGUGGGGACUACGUGACCACAUCAAGCAGUGUGGAGGCCACGGUGGGACACCCAAGGGAGCAGGUGACCCCACAUGAGGUUCGUCAGAUCUUGUGGGGACCGCAUGAGCAGAUCAAGCUGUGUGGAGGCCAUGGUGGGCCACCCGAGGGAGCAGGCGACCCCAGAUGAGGUUUGUUGACAUCAGAUCUUGUGGGGACAGCGUGACCAGAUCAAGCCGUGUGCAGUCCACCGUGGGAUACUUGAGGGAGCAGGCAACCCCCAGAUGAGGGUCAUCGGGACCAGAUCUUGGGACCACGUGACCAUAUCAAGCCGUGUGGAGGCCACGGUGAGACACUCGAAGGAGCAGGUGACUGCAGAUGAGGUUCAUCGUGACCAGAUCUUGUAGGGACCGCCUGACCAGAUCAAGGCGUGUGGAGGCCACGGUGGGACAGCCGAGGGAGCAGGCGACCCCAAGUGAGGUUCGUCAGAUCUUGUGGGGACCGCAUGACCAGAUCAAGCUGUGUGGAGGCUAGGGUGGGACAUCCGACGGAGCAGGCGACCCCAGAUGAGUUUUAUCAUAUCUUGUGGGGACUGCGUGAGCAGAUCAAGCCUUUUGCAGGCCACAGCGGGAUACCCGAGGGAGCAGGCAACCCCAGAUGAGGUUCAUCAGAUCUUGUGGGACUGUGUGAGCAGAUCAAGCCAUGUGGAGGCCACAACGGGACACCCGAGGGAGCAGGUGACCCCAGAUAGGGUUCAUCAGGAGCAGAUCUUGUGGGAACUGCUCUUCAGUUAUGAACCCACAAACUUGAUACGCAGCAUCACAUGUAUGCCCUCUGCAAGGGUGAUGGGCCUGGUAGGAUGGAGGAAAGGCCAGAACGGGGAGUUCUCCCCCGGAAAAAAGGAGAGCAUCCUGGUGGCUGUGGAAUGAAGGGUGUGGGUCCCAGUGAAGGAACAGAUGCCUUCUCGCACCCCACCUCCUUUCAUAGAUGUUAGGAGCGACAUCUUUGGAAGACGCCUCGCCUACAUCACAUCAGAUGUAUUAAAUAUACUAAAACGCAUCCACAUCCCACGAAACAUUUUCACUGUGGAGAUGAGAGACUGAAUACCUUUCUCUAAUUUUGCUUUUGAAAUAUAUUUUGCAAGAUUGUUACAUUUUGGUUUUCUUGGUAUUUUGGUUUCUUUCUAAUAAGCUAGAGGUUUCUACUCAGGUUUCUGAUCUUCUCUCAGACCUUCAGAAAGCUCAGAGGUAGGAGCCUCUGGGCUACGGUGCUCCCCGAUGAAGCAGCCCUGCGCUCCACUCUCAUCACUGUGCACACUCCAUCGGCCUGUCACAUCAGUUCCCCCUAGGCUGCUGGGCCUUAGAUGGAGCUUCAGGUCCACGUACAAAACCACCUCCCAGCUCUCUUCCCUGGACAACCCACAGGUACCGAACUCACCAGGUAGAAAGCCAGGCUCACCCUGCCUCUUCUUCCCCACCCUCUGCUACUCCUCCAGAAGGUCCUGUGUCUCAGCCAAAGGCAUCAGUCAUCCACUCUCCCUGUCAGAAGCCCAGGAGUCAUCCCCAGGGUCUCUCCCUCACUCCACAUGCAUAGGGAGACACGAGUCCUAUUGGUUUCUUCACAUUUCUCUCACCUGAUCCACCUGUUCCCACCUCAGCGAAAGACUGCGUGUCUGCAUUCACACCACUUUUCACCUUCUAAACAGCACCCCAAUCUGCCUGUCUCUCCAUCCUCACUCCGGAAGCCUCAGCAGGGCCAUGCUAUCUCCUGCCUAGAUUGUUCUGAUGGGUUUUCCAACUACUCUCUUUCCCUCCCACCCAUCCCCCUCCACCCCUGCUAGCUAGGGCUUUGCUAGGAGGCCAAUUAGAUCACAUCAGUCUCCACACAAGGUCUUUCAGUGGCCCUCACAGCUCCUGAGCUUAAAUAAAUCAGCACACAUGGCCCCUUUGGUUCUGGUUCCUGCCUAGAUUCAGCCCAUACUCCCUUCCACCUCUCCACCCACAUCUGUAUUUCUUUAUAUAAAUUGUUAUUAUUA